rnacentral:sRNA from 1 species
GCUGGGUGUGGUGGCACACGUCUGUAAUCCCAGCGGCUUGGGAGGCGGAGGCAGGAGGAUUGCGAGUUCAAAGCCAGCCUCAGCAAAAGCAAGACACUAAGCAACUCAGUGAGACCCUGUCUCUA